CGCAGCUGCGUCGACCUCAGCGUUGAGUCCUCGGAUCGUUUCAGAUGUGAAAACAGGCUUUUAUCGGUGCUGUGGCUCCGCAGCUCCAGUCUCCGCGCGAGGCCUUUUCAGUGGAGCCGCCUGAUCCGGCCGAAGAGUCCGGCUUUGGCGACGGGAGGAAUGCAACCGAACCGGACGAGCCCCAGAGUCAGCGACAAGGAACCUGCAGGCUGAACCACGUACAUCCGGCGAUGCCUUUCAAAAUAAAGCUCCCCCGUCCUGAUCAGGACCAGGGUGUCGAUGCACACGUUAUGACGUUUUUUGUGUUUGUUGCUCAGUUUGUGGUCUUCUUCUUUGCAGUUUACUGGGGUGUGUAGAUCCAUUCGGUGAUUUUGCAUCCGUGUAGUCAGUCAUUUAGUAUCUCAGGGGUCAGUGUUGGCGUGUCUUUGUACCCUUUGUGCGUCUCUUUGUGUUUGCUUUGCAUGUUCUUACUCUCGUUUUGGUAUUUUUGCAUUUCUGCAACAUGUCUGGUCUCAGUGUUGUUCAUAUCUGAUUGAUUGAAUUUUGACCUUUAAAGAAUAAAUCUUUGUUUGACAACGA